CUGCCAUGGCCAAAUGACGCUUUGUCACAGUGUCAACGUCUGAUGCUACGCAGCUCUAGAACCUGGUAUAGGCAGGAAACUGCUCCACUCUGCUCUUAUUUAUACUUUAAGGAUCAGGGCACAAAAGGUGGCACUUAAGCUACAAAAACAUUUACACAGUGUCGGCGGGUGGCACUUCCCUGCUGUGUAUCCAUGGCAACAUCUCAUGUGCAGGAGCCAAAGCUGUGACAGAAAGAAGAGAAGAAAAAAUGAAACGAAAAAGAGAAAAGAAUGAGGAAAGAUGAGGACUGGCCACACUGAUGCAUCUACAUAUCAACUUUCCUUCAGGACCCUCAGGUCACCUCCCUCUCUUAACACCUACCACAAGCCCACCACAUAAAACUCGCCUGAGUGCCCAUCACACCAGGGAUCAAAGCCACGGCCCUGCCUUCCUCUCUGCUUGAAACAUGUCUUUUCUACAAAGUGGCUUACUGGAGGCUAAGGACAGUAGCAACUUCACCUGCAUUACCUGUUGGCCAAUGCUGUGAGAGAAGGGUGAGGAGUAAUUAAUGAAGAUGCAAAUGACCCCUUCCAACAUGAUACAUUUAAUGGAUUAUACAAGCGCCUGGCCCCUGGGGGAAAAGAAGACGAAGAGGCCUUAUCAUGCAGAAUGCAACCUGAUAAUUUGUCCUGUUUUACUGCGCGAUCAUGCCCUGAUCCUUCUAGGUGAACUCAUCUGAAAGCACAUACACAGACAAACAUAUGAACAUGAGCAGUCAGUCACACUGUCAAAUUCCUCCGCAUCCAUUAUAAAAUAAAGGAAAUCUUCAGGUUCAUGUUUCUGUAAAACUAACAAAUGUCUGUGCCAUAACAAUAGUUUGAUUCUUUCACAACACGGGGUCUAAAAAAACAAAACAAAAAAAACAGAAUGCACAACUUGGCUGUGUUGACAGCUCUGUAGAACACAUAAAUAAAUGAGUAAGAAUGGA